rnacentral:miRNA from 1 species
CCCCACAGCCCCUGUAGCUCA